rnacentral:rRNA from 1 species
GAUGAACGCUGGCGGCGUGCUUAACACAUGCAAGUCGAACGGAAAGGCCCUGCUUUUGUGGGGUGCUCGAGUGGCGAACGGGUGUGUAACACGUGAGUAACCUGCCCUUGUCUUUGGGAUAACUUCAGGAAACUGGGGCUAAUACCGGAUAGGAGCUCCUGCUGCAUGGGGGGGGUUGGAAAGUUUCGGCGGUUGGGGAUGGACUCGCGGCUUAUCAGCUUGUUGGUGGGGUAGUGGCUUACCAAGGCUUUGACGGGUAGCCGGCCUGAGAGGGUGACCGGCCACAUUGGGACUGAGAUACGGCCCAGACUCCUACGGGAGGCAGCAGUGGGGAAUAUUGCACAAUGGGCGGAAGCCUGAUGCAGCAACGCCGCGUGCGGGAUGACGGCCUUCGGGUUGUAAACCGCUUUCGCCUGUGACGAAGCGUGAGUGACGGUAAUGGGUAAAGAAGCACCGGCUAACUACGUG